rnacentral:rRNA from 1 species
CCGGAUUAAUACCGCAUACGAUCUACGGAUGAAAGCGGGGGACCUUCGGGCCUCGCGCUAUAGGGUUGGCCGAUGGCUGAUUAGCUAGUUGGUGGGGUAAAGGCCUACCAAGGCGACGAUCAGUAGCUGGUCUGAGAGGACGACCAGCCACACUGGGACUGAGACACGGCCCAGACUCCUACGGGAGGCAGCAGUGGGGAAUUUUGGACAAUGGGCGAAAGCCUGAUCCAGCAAUGCCGCGUGUGUGAAGAAGGCCUUCGGGUUGUAAAGCACUUUUGUCCGGAAAGAAAUCCUUGGCUCUAAUACAGCCGGGGGAUGACGGUACCGGAAGAAUAAGCACCGGCUAACUACGUGCCAGCAGCCGCGGUAAUACGUAGGGUGCGAGCGUUAAUCGGAAUUACUGGGCGUAAAGCGUGCGCAGGCGGUUUGCUAAGACCGAUGUGAAAUCCCCGGGCUCAACCUGGGAACUGCAUUGGUGACUGGCAGGCUAGAGUAUGGCAGAGGGGGGUAGAAUUCCACGUGUAGCAGUGAAAUGCGUAGAGAUGUGGAGGAAUACCGAUGGCGAAGGCAGCCCCCUGGGCCAAUACUGACGCUCAGC